AAUGAUUUUAGCAUUACCUAAAAGUAAAGGAAGUUGUGUGCCCUUUACUUUUCCCCCUUUCUCCCAAUUUCUUCCGCACUACAACCUAGUUUCAGGUCCUUGGUUCUCGCAUUCUUGGUGUCAUUGGCUAUCUCUGAGGUUAGGUUAGAAAAAAUCUGUUCGAAGUGGGAAUUUUGAAGUGGAGGCAUAUGUAGUACAUGGUUGUGAGGAGGCAAAGAACAAGUGGUGUUGUAGUUUGGGUGAAGGUCAAACUCUUUACCGUCAUUGCUCUAAAGGUCACUGUAUUGCUAAAUUCUAGUGGGUUGAGCUAAAUUCUAGCAUGGAGGUGAAAGAUCUAGUUGAAUCCUAAAGACAACUCUGAAAUUGAUUGCUUAUGGUGAUGUUGAUUGAGUUGAGUUUCUUAAUAUAGUCGACAAUCAAUCACUUGGUUAAUGCUUAUUCCUUGGCUUCUUUUUGAUCUCAAGAAAUAUUAAGAAGCAAGCAUGAAUUUAUAAAAGUUAUCGAACUAAAAAUAAAAAUAGAUGUCUGUGUGGUCACGCAAAUCUAGACAAUAGUUAAAAAAUCUUUGUCUAAUCUUUAUGCCAUAACUUUUACUGUUUUGACCGCCAUUUAUUUGCUGUGAAUGAAACCGUGAUGAAGCAUAUCUUCUCAACAAAAAUAAUUCAGCAAAAACAAGAAUGUCACAAAACACCGUGUGGAAGUCACAAGAAAUUGUAGGAAAACAAAACCAUAAUCCAAACAUACAUAUAGAUUUAAGAAGUGAGGAAAGGGUGACUUGUAUAUCCAAAUUGUAACGACAAUGAAUGAAUUGUUAUAUUAUUAAUGUGAGGUGAUGAAGAGGUAGAUUAAAGACAUGAGAAGUAGGAAAUGAAGAAUGAGUGAAGAGAUAAUUAAGGAGAAUUUGAAGAUGAAAAUUUGGUGUGAGAUUGGGUAAGUCUGGUGGCAUAGUACUUAGCAAUGAAAUCAGAGGCUUUUCUGUCAAUGCCUGGCUCUGCAACCCAUCGUCCUCUGUCUUCAUCACUUGCAAACAUUCUUCUUUCAUUUCCUCCUUCCCAGUACUCAUCAUAACUAUCUCCACAUGAGAAACAAGCCUUCAACACACUCCCAAAACAGCAACUCGAUGACCUCUUCCCUCCCAUUCUUUUCUCUUCUUCCAAUGAUCUAUGCCAAUCCUUCUUCCAUACUUUACCAUUUAUAGACUCACCACAUUAUCUCUUCUUUUAGGAAAAUAUAACAAAAAUUUAAAGCUACAGAUUCCCUCAAAUCACUCUUCUCAUCCUCUACUUUUUCUUUCUCACGCAAUACUUCUCCCCUACCCCUACCUGCAUCAUACAUGCUUUCUCAUUCUCAUCACUUACUUUGCCUAGAUUCCUUCUUUUUCCUUGUACACAUAAUGCCUACAGAAAUUAUAAUAAGCUUAUGCUUCUAAUUUUGCUCAAUCUUUGUGUAUGACUUUUCUUUGUCUUCUGAUAAGAUGUAAGAUAUUGAUCUGGAAGUUAUGCUAAAGCAAAGUAAUGUACUUUGAAUGGAAUUUAAUCCAACUAUCUUAUAACUUUAGAGCAUCUGUGAUUGGACAAAACAUACAUGUACAUUUGCUGUCUAACUAGACUUCAAAUUUUAUUCUGACAAUUAGAAAUAAAUUUUCCAUUAUUAUGAAUAACAAUCACAUCUCAUUAUCUCAUUAUUAAGUAAAAAGUUAUUUCUCAUCUCAUUGCUCUAACUAGAAAGUUACAUCUCAUAUUUUUUAAGAAAAUAUCAACUUAACAAGAAAAAAACACAUUCACGAAGUAUUACUGAUACCUGUCAUUAAUUCAUCUCUAAUUUUAGUAGCCUAACCAAUAUUAAAAACUAAUUUAGACUUCAAUUCAUAAAUCAAUUAUAAUUUUUUAUUCAUAAUAAAAACUAUUUUAAAUACUAAUAAUUUUUAUUUUAUAAAUUGAUAUCUAAAUUAAUCAUUAUAGAAAUUAAUUACUUUUUUUAUUGUGGUGUGCUUAUGAAUUAGAGAAAGUAAUAUGAUCGCACUACAGUAUCAGACUUUAGACAACUUAAGAUUUGACAAUCAUAAAAUAUUUUGGUCUAAAUAAGGAAAAGACAACACUUUUUUAAGCGUAGCUUUUGAUUAGAAACUUUAAUUGUUAUUUGUACCAAUUCUUUUAAAAAUUGUUACUUAUUAAUAAAGGCAACAUGUAAUAAAUUGUUACCCACCAUAACCAACAAUUUACAUACGAUGGAUACUUUAAAUUUCUAAACUUAAAUUAAAAUACAUGUGAAACUAUCUGAGUCUCUUAUUAUGAUGCCUUUAUUUCACUUAAACCAGGAUUCAUACCAUUUUAUUAAUGUAUUUGUUGUAUCUUGAAAUCGGUUCCUAUAUCAUAAGUUUUGUUUUUCUAAAUUAAAGGAGAAUUAUGAUGUUUUGAGAUUGAAGAUAGUCAGAAAUAUAAAUGUAUGUUUAUCUCAGUAUAUUUUUGCAGGGAAAGAGGCUCAUAAGGUGACAUGUUUUUUUUUUUGUGGUAAAGCUUAUUACCAUGCAUUCAUGCAAGAAUAAGAAUAUAAAAAAUAAGGGGAAAUUAUGAUGAAAUUACAUAUGCUCCACAAGCCUAUUGCCUUAUAUCUAGAAUAAUUAAACAAACUUCUCUGUUGGAAAGUCCCACGCUUGAUUCCAACAGAGAGUGCCCUCAAGCUGUCUUACCUUUCUCAGAACUUAAUUCUUAAGGGAUCCUAAAGCAAUUCAAUUUCCAUCAAAUACAAAAGCAGAACUUUUCUUUUUAUAUAUUCAUAUUUUGUCCUUAAUGUAACUAAUUUAAUCAUUUGCUAAAGGUCUUUCUAGGUUAUAAUAUCAUUUAUUUGUUGCAUCACUUUCUUUUGGCCCUUUAUUAAUUUUAGUUUGAGAAGUGCUAUAGAUACUAUGAUACAGCUACAUAAGCUAAUUCGGUUGAUUUGUGGUAUAUAUAAUCAGCAUGUGUAAUAUGUUAUACAUUUUCUAAGAUGUACCUUCCCCAUCAUAAUCUGUCAAAAGGAAACUCAAGAUUUGGUAAUCUCUGCAUACAUGUAAAUUAUAACUCAGGUUCUGCACACCUACUUUUUAGAUGCAAUUAUUUGCAUAUUAAAUAUAGCAAGAA